UUAACGGUCAACAGGCAAAACUGACACAUUGGAGCAUCUACUGAAAACAAUGGAAGAGAUGGCAACAGGGGGCCCUUUAUUCCCACGGCGACAAUGACGCACAGGACCUGAGUAGUCUAUCGCCACAUCUCAGAUGGCACGUCUACCCUCCAUUCCCCAGCCCCCAUUAUCCUUUCACUGGGACCUGGGUGUCCUCAUUUACAAUUCUUCUCACCCUGUUGCCUUUCUCCUCUGGCUGUAGAGUUAUCCUACAGCCACUGUUUGUGACCCCUGGCUUUCCCCGUUCCAUCCCCACACCUUAUUUUGCCCCAGCAUCACCACAAGGCGCAGAGGCUGGUAGAAGAUGGCUCAGAAUACCUGCACCACACUAAAUGCGCUCUGAGUCUUCCACAAGUAGGGAAAAACACCUGAUUCACUUAAUAGCAAUAAUGCGUCCCACACACUAGAUGUUUAAUAACCACCAGGCCUACGAGUGAUAAAGCUAAAUAAGCUCUUACAGUUGGAGGGUUGGGACAUGUGUUGCCACACCUCCUCAUCCUGAGGUCAAGGUCUAUGGGCGGUGAGGAUCUAAGCCACCACCCCCAAGAGGGCAGGAGCCACUCUGACCAGAUCUCACGCCCAUUUUAUUCGGGGGAGGAAUGAAAACAACUAACAGAUGUGA